rnacentral:rRNA from 1 species
UACGUAGGGGGCAAGCGUUGUCCGGAAUCAUUGGGCGUAAAGCGCGUGUAGGCGGCCCGGUAAGUCCGCUGUGAAGGCCCGGGGCUCAACCCCGGGAGGCGGGUGGAUACUGGCAAGCUCGAGUCCGGAAGAGGCGAGUGGAAUUCCUGGUGUAGCGGUGAAAUGCGCAGAUAUCAGGAGGAACACCAAUGGCGAAGGCAGCUCGCUGGGACGUGACUGACGCUGAGACGCGAAAGCGUGGGGAGCAAACAGG